AGGUAGUAGAUUUAAUACAAAACCACUUUAAACCGACAGUUUAGCCCAAUCAGAGGAACUUGUUAAUUAAUCGUCAUUACCCGAUCACUCUCACGCUUAAACAGUUUUUAUACCGCCGCCAAUUUAAUCAUAAAAACUACAACAAUAUUUAUACCCAAAACACCAACCAGGUCAAGGCAAAGCUCUUAUUAAACGCUAAAAUGAGUUACUUUAAACAUUAUUCAAGGAAUUUACGUGAAAACUCUAAUAUAAAAAGAAUUUAACAGUAAUUUUAAAAUAAAAAUUCAAUUUGAAGACGAAAGCUAAAUGU
rnacentral:rRNA from 1 species